CAGCCGCCGCGGGAAUACGUAGGGUGCAAGCGUUAAUCGGAAUUACUGGGCGUAAAGCGUGCGCAGGCGGUUAUAUAAGACAGAUGUGAAAUCCCCGGGCUCAACCUGGGAACUGCAUUUGUGACUGUAUAGCUAAAGUACGGCAGAGGGGGAUGGAAUUCCGCGUGUAGCAGUGAAAUGCGUAGAUAUGCGGAGGAACACCGAUGGCGAAGGCAAUCCCCUGGGCCUGUACUGACGCUCAUGCACGAAAGCGUGGGGAGCAAACAGGAUUAGAUACCCGUGUAGUCCCUGUCUCUUAUAU
rnacentral:rRNA from 1 species